rnacentral:lncRNA from 1 species
CUAGGUGAGUUGCCUGUCACUAGCUCAACUUAGGAUUCACAUCGUUUAAUUUUAUUUGGAAACACAGAAGCCCAUAGUUGUGGGAACCGUGGAGAUAAGGCCGUAGUCCCACCAUAGGAACUCGAUCCUAUGGUUCCUCUAAGGGAUCUUAGAGUGAGCUAGAUUUAGAGAAAUAGGGAUCUUGCUCCCAAUAAAAUGGGAUCUCGGUCUACAUGCUUGUAAGAUCCCUCCAAGGAGAUGAGUUAUACUAUUAAUUGAACUAUUGCUCCUCUCCUUGGUAUUAUAGAUUCAUUUCUUUAAAAUAUGUUAAAUUGUGGUGCAUCUUACAUCAUGGAUAUUAUAGAUUCAUUUCUUUAGAAUAAGUUGAAUUGUGGUGCAAUAUGCAUCGUGGCAUACUAAAAUUAUGGUAUUAAAAAACUAUAGUUUAAUAUCAUAGUAGGCCAAUUUAUAAUAUUAUUAAACUAUAUUAUUGUAGUACUAUAACUAUGGCAUUGGUAAUAAGCUAAGGUGUAUGAUAAUGGAUCGAGCGGGGCAUUGGCUUGAUCCUAAUUUUGUCAUAUACUAUUAAUUGAUCUCGGUUUAUGUAUAGUGGAGCUUAGAUCCCUCCACGUCAAAACCUCAAUCCUAGUGAAAUGAGAUCUUGCUUCCAAGCAUCCCAGGAUCUAUUAUUAAACUAUAUUAUUGUAGUACUAUAACUAUGGCAUUGGUAAUAAGCUAAGGUGUAUGAUAAUGGAUCGAGCGGGGCAUUGGCUUGAUCCUAAUUUUGUCAUAUACUAUUAAUUGAUCUCGGUUUAUGUAUAGUGGAGCUUAGAUCCCUCCACGUCAAAACCUCAAUCCUAGUGAAAUGAGAUCUUGCUUCCAAGCAUCCCAGGAUCUAGCUCCUUAACUUGUUGAAUGUACGAAUAUUGAUCCUAAUACUAGGGAGCUUCCACCCUAUGGUAGUUUGGCAUUCCCUGAUCCCACUUCCAAACCCGCUCCUGCCUGUAACAACUAUGUGGAAGCCAUAUGCUGGUUCUUUUACUUCAAAAUCCAUUUGAGGGAUAUCAAUGGGUCAGAUAAACCCAACUUCAUUUAUAGCAUAUAGGUGCAAUACUUUUAAUAAGGAUAAUGACUCAAAGUUGUUCGAGAAUUGCUCAACAGGCAAUAGACAAACUACAAUCCAAGGAAGCUUAAGGCAUUCUUCAUGAGAUGCAGUGCCUGUAUAAUUCAAGGUAAUGGCCCUGAUGGGCUAUAUCA